rnacentral:rRNA from 1 species
CACGUAGGGUGCGAGCGUUGUCCGGAAUUAUUGGGCGUAAAGAGCUCGUAGGCGGUGUGUCGCGUCGGCCGUGAAAACCUGCAGCUUAACUGUGGGCGUGCGGGCGAUACGGGCAGACUGGAGUACUGCAGGGGAGACUGGAAUUCCAGGUGUAGCGGUGAAAUGCGUAGAUAUCUGGAGGAAUCACCGGUGGCGAAGGCG